GUCAAUGGUAGUGUGUAGAUGAUGUGUACAUGAUGUGUACGUGUGUGUGUGUGAAAUAGAGGAGACAGGAAACAUGAACUCCACACACAAGUUUGAAACUGUAAUCAUUUAAGGCGUCAUUAAUGCUCCAUUUCAGAAACAAUGCAUACUGUCACAAAAAGCAAAAAGUUAGAUGGUCCAGGCUUCCAACCUCCGUAAUGGCUAUUAUCACUUUAAAAGUAGAUAUCAAACAUAAAAUGUUAAAAAGAAAUCCUGGGGAUGUACAACUGAGCACCGUCAGCAUUUUACAGUUCGCAGAAAUCCUGCUCAUACAUGAUGUAGUUCCCCCUCUAAGAAAAUAGAUAUUAAUAGCCCUGUCACAUUUGGCCCUGUUUCCAAAGUCCUCUGCCCUCCCACUGAUGCUUAUCAUGCAGUUCCCAAAAAACACCCAGUAUACUGUAUAUAUACUGUAUUAUAUAUGUGCUCUACAAUACAGACACAGAUGAAAGUCAGAGAUUUCAAAGUCCCUGCUUUACGCUGCAGCAAAACCCAGGCUUGUCAGGUGACCUCAUCAGUCAGAGUUCAGACGGCUCAGUGACACUGGUGUGGCUCAUGGGGUCAAAACAUCACUGAAGCAGACACUGGUUCAAAAGGGCCUCCUAACAGGUGCUGUGGCUGCAGAAAACAAACCCACACACACACACACACCAAAAUCAGUUAUUCUGCAACAAACAGCAUGACUAAAUGUUAUAUGUGAGAGUACACCAAAAAUGUAGCGUAAAAUACAUUUUUAUCCGACGAAAACAGAAACACUCUCCCAAGUGGACAAAUUUGAAAAUGCCGUUUUUGAGUUGUAGUGUGAACCGUGAAAAUGGAGAUAUUUAAAAACAAACAAGCAAUCACAUUUUUAGUCAUGUGACCCAUUCAACUCAAAAACAAGAUGGUUGUUGAUGUACUGCAAUUGUGCCUGCUGCUAUCCAGUUUGAUAGCGCUGUUGUAGAUGGACGUAUUGGUCCAAAUGGACGGAAUGUUCACUUGCAAUUGCUAUUCGGUUUUUCCCGCAUCAAUUCAAAGAGACGGCAAGUAAAAAAACACCACAGGUGAAAGUGUCUUGUGUUAUGCAAGCGUUUUCAUUACAUUCGUGUGGAUGAUCAGUUUUGGGAAAAUAGUCUACGGGGGGGCUGUAGACGGAGAGCGUUGUAAAAACGAAAAUGCAGUUUUCAGAUCUAUCCUGAUUAACAUGGACGUAGACUUAAUAAAACAGUUUCUAGGUAACGCCUCGACUCAACAUCGAAAUUUAUUCAUCGUGUCAACAUUUUUGCCUACAACGAUGUAAACAGAGCAAAUAUUGUGUCACACGGACAAAACUCACUGCACAGAAAGUAGUAAAGCGGGUCAAUUGAUCGAGCUCUUAGACGUUUGACUGGUCACUGGAAUGAAAUGGGUUGAAUUCAAACCCCAAUCAUUUCACUUCAGUGCUAAUUUGCACCGACUGCUGAUAGUGUUCAGAGGAAUAAAAAGCUUCCAAAAAUUCUUGAAUAAAUAGAGAAAUAUUACUGUACACAUUUAAAUAACAAGUCUAACAUGUGAAUAGUUGGAUUACAUUCGUAGCGGGGGGGUCGGGGUUCAGUGGAAUAUAUUUUACAGUUGAGUUGAGGAUGUCCCUGGCUGCAAAACGUUUGAGAAUUCCUGUUCAAAAAUAAAUAAUUAAAAAAAAAAAAAAAAAAAAAAAAAAAAAAAAAAACCCAACACCUCCUAGGUGUCUUGUGUAAGGAUGGCAACAUCCUUGAGUGUCUCUCCUUGAAAUUCUACUGUGACAACGUAACCACUAAAUCAUGUUCCUCCACUACACGAUUUGAUAAAAGGUCAUGGUCUCGUUUUUAAACAUUUUGAACAGCACUUGUUACGAGAAGUUAGUACCAAACAGAAUGGUGCCAGACAUGGAGAACUUGUUUCCUGUUAUUUUGGAACAUGAAUAGUCAUUCGGGACGUCGGAUUUUCCUCUUUCUUCGCUGGGAAUCUCCCUCCCUGCUCUCUUGUUCCUGACACUAGUCUAGACUGCGCUGCUUCUUCACGCUUCACCGGUCCGUCGGUCCAUCGGUUUAUCAUGCCGCAUUCUUUGCGGGAUCUAAUGAUAACAGAACCAAGCCUGCCUGGGAGUAGCAGUCGACCCUCUACUUGUUCCUCUCAUGCACGAAACUACAGCUACACAUAACCCUCUCAAAAGUUUAUAGUUCACAAACAUGACAUUGCAGAUUUGGAAAUGUGGCCUGAUCAAAUCAAAACUGAACAUCGCACAUAAAAAUCGCCUCAUUAACAAAUCUGUAAUAUACAUAUAUUCUCAGAAUGACAAAUAUUCAGGUGUUGGACCACAUUUCCAGGGUGGAAGUGGGCAUUUGUGAAAUUCAACAUGCUAUAACUACAGGACAAAGUUAUUUGCCGUAGCUUGAAAUACAAAAUGUGUGAAUAUUCAAUAGUAAUGCAAAAGCUGAACAUUUUAAAGCAUGAAACCCAAUUUAAAAAAAAAAAAAAAAAAAAAACGACUAGUAAGGUUUGUGGAAACUGUCAAGUCUAGUAAGGAGAGUGUGUGUGUUAGUUGUUCGCUCUCCCUCUAACAGAGUAUAGCACUUCCUGUGUUCCUCUCACAGAUAAAAUGCUUUUUCAUCAUUUGUGAGGUUGCCAAAUACUUCACAAUUUCUUUUUAAAAUAAAGUCCACCUCGUUCUUGGGUUCAGCUGUUUUAUUAGUAUUGUUGCAUAUCCUCUGCUUUUCAGUCAGCCAGGACUGUCUGCCGUUCUCUAUAGAGUACGUCUCAGUGGUGCUUGUCACCAUGCUCAGCCAGUCUGCCACAAUGUACCGUCUUUGUCGAGCCAAACAGCACUGCUUUGUCUGUUUCCCCCAAUCAUGAGGUUUUAUUAUUAUUAUUAUUAGCUGUGUUGUAACUAGGUUUAAUUUCAUCCUUAUCCUAUGUGUCUACGCGCAUGGGUGUGAGUAGCAGCUAAAGCGCAAGUGAUGUUACUGUGGUCAUUGUUCAAUUCUUGCUAUUGCACAGCUUUAUAAACAAUAUGAGGAAGGAGCUUCCUGAAGGACACUCCCUGACCCCCCCCCCAUCCUUGACCAUUAUGAUUAAUUACUAUCAGCCUAAUUCUGCUCUACAUACAUUAUUUGUGCUGUCCUUAUAAGAGUUUCUCAGAUUUUCACAGGUAAGCACCCCCUCCUCCCACACACUUGCACUUGAUUGGCAUAAACCCACCUCAAACGACUAAAUUCGAACAUCAUGAGAAGGAAUAUUCACAAAAUGCAUUGAUUUGUGUAUUGAUUCAUUUCCCCUUAAUUCCCCAAUGCCUGGUUACAGUUUCCUGAAGAAGUGCCGCCAAAUUCAUUCUAGUUUCAUGCUUCAGUAGUACGGAUGGGCGAUAUGGACCUCAAACUAUAUCAUGAUAUUUUCUGGUAUUUUAUUGAGAGAACGAUAUCAGUGACGAUAUAAAUAUAGUACCGUC
ensembl:lncRNA